rnacentral:ncRNA from 2 species
CCCCCUCCUGUCGUAGCUGGCGUUGUUUGAAAUGUUCCACCCAGGGCGGAACCGGGGAAGACGGUGCGAAUCCGUCGCUGCCCCGCAUCUGUUACCGGAACGAAACCCGCACGAAGCCACUGUCCCGCAUCUCGGGAUGGGAAGGCGCGGGAAGUAGGCCGCCGGAAGCCAGAAGAUCCGGGCCGCCCUGCAUCAACCCAC